rnacentral:rRNA from 1 species
UACGUAGGGGCCUAGCGUUGUCCGGAUUUAUUGGGCGUAAAGAGCUCGUAGGCGGUUCGGUAAGUCAGGUGUGAAAUCUCCACGCUCAACGUGGAGGGGCCACCUGAUACUGCCGUGACUCGAGUCCGGUAGGGGAGUGUGGAAUUCCCGGUGUAGCGGUGAAAUGCGCAGAUAUCGGGAGGAACACCUGUGGCGAAAGCGGCGCACUGGACCAUAACUGACGCUGAGGCGCGAAAGCUAGGGGAGCAAACAGG